AAAAUUAAAGCCCACAGCUUCAGAGGCCCUAUAGUGUUCAUCCCCUUCACGCCGCCAUCAGGGUUUCCGUUCUUCUUCCAAAAUCUGAGACCGAUGUAAAUAAUUAUGCGUUCUCACACAGUUUCAAUGGUGUUUUGAUUGUUUGGAUUUCUGAGAUCGAGAUGAAGAAUCUCUUCGUUUGUUUCCACCGCGUCGUUUAACUUCUCCUCUACUGAAACGAAACGGCCGAGUUACACAUUCAACGCCAUCAGCGUCAUCAUCGCCUUCUUAACUCUAUAGACGGACGUGUAGCACGAUCUUGACAUUGAUUGUGAGUUAUCCCUCUCCAAGGCGGUCUAUUCUUCACCUAUAAAAAGCUGGUCGUCCAAGUGCGGUUGCUCUUCUACGAAACCAAGAAGACGUGGAGGGGAACUGAUGUCUCUUGCUAUGCUCUUAUUGGAUUCGAAGUGAUGUGCCUCUCACAAUGAGUUUCUUCGACAGACAAGCUGUAAAGUUUCACAAGCAACUUGAAGCCAUACGUGGUGGUGACCCAAGGGUGGUUGUUGCAACCGGCAUUAAUCCAAAAUUCGAGGGAGAUAGUGUUCUUGAUCUCACGAUCAAUAGUGUGAAAAUAGUUGUAGUGGUAAGUGAGGUGUUGUUGUGAAAACAUUGUUAUGCUGCUUCCAAAUAUGAAACACGACAGCCUGAGUUACCAUUUUCAAAAGGAGCCGCUGCUUCCAUUCCAUAGUAGCAGCAGAUACAGUACUGGCGUUGGAGUUGUUGGUUUGAUUGCUUCUGAUCCAUGCUAGCAGUUCUGACCCAUUAAGAAACUUUUGCAAUGGUCCGCUUAUACAUGAGAACCAUACUCCAUAUAUUUGAGUUGUAGUCACAGCUGAGAAGAAGAUGAUCUCUGGUUUCUGGAUCCCGAGAGCGGAGGCAGCUUGAUGUUUGGCUUAGUAUGCUUGAUGUGAAAAUGUUAUACGUUCUAUGUAGACAUACACAAUUAGUACUAUAAAUUGUUUUGUUUUGUAUUGAUACAUUUUUAUUAGUUAAUACAAAGAAGGGUUCAUUUCUGUUGACCAAACAUGUGAAGAGCAAAGAUAAACAAAUCAAUUAAAUACAAAAAGCUGAAAUUAGUUACUGAUUUCUUAAUAAAAAUAUAUACAACCCAUUUGUAUAUAUUUUAUAUGUGGAUUUAUAUAAGAGUUAUUUUCAUAUAUAGACACUUUAUGACUUUUUAUUACAAGAAAGAGCACUUGUUGCUACCAGGACACUUUUUGUUGGUUAAAGUCAUCUUUGUCCUCAAAAAAGGCAAACUAGACGUGGGCAUAUCUGUAAUAUAACAUAUUCUUCUGGUUUCUCUGGUUUGGGAGUUUAAAAUUUAAAAAUAAGAGAAGCUGAUUGGUGGAUUCCAUAGACGUAGUGUGUUUUGCUUAAUUAUCUGAGAUUGGCCCCGUGAUAAAGUAAAUAACUCUAUAUGUUUCAACUUUUCCCGAGUCUGAUAACCUAAUUUUACAUUUCCCAGACCGUUUUUCCGACGACGACCAACAGGAUUGGAGAACUGAGAAGCCGACGAAUGAAGAACGCGUGUAAGAACGGAGAAGCAGACGAACAAGAUUUUCGGACGGAGAAGACGACGUCGUCUCGAAAGCGGAGAGCUUCAAAGGACAAGGCUAAAGGUUAUAUACUUUCCUUCCUCGCAGUUUCAUCGAUUUGGAUUUCGGAUUGGGGAUUAGAGUUUUGAUUUCUGGGUUUCAAUUUUUCGAGUUUGGUAAGAGCCUGGCGUGAGGUGUUAGGGUUUCGAUUUGGGGGCGCGGUUAUAGAUUUAUGAAAAACUUCAAUUAGGGUUUUGAUUUGUAGAUUAGAGUUUCGAUUUAGGGGUGCGAUUCUAGAUUUCCAAGUUCUCUAAGUUUUCUUUCUGGUUUCUGUUUGUUUUAAAGAGAUGGCGCAAACUGAAGAGGGUGCGGUGAAUGGAGGAAAAGGUCGAAGCUUGUUGCUAGUUUUGGUGUUUUGACAAAACUGUGGUCGGAUGUACACCAACAAGUGUGUACAUAUGAUCAACCAUGAUUUUGUACAUAUGUACACGCGUGUAUUUGUACAUAAUAAGUAAUGUAGAUAUGAAUAUUCUUGUUGAUAGGUUGACAUGUAUAUGUUGUGUUUGUUGGUGUAGGAGCCGGUACAUAUGAACAAUAUCCAUGUGUACACCAAAGUAAUGAUAUUCACAUGUACACAAAAAUGUAUACUUUCCGAUAAUAUAGCAAUACCAAUCUACUCCAUUGCAAAUUCAUUUUUGUUUUUAUUUUUUGAAUACUUUCUACAUUGAGAACCAUUUAAAACAUUAUUAUAAACUGGAUCACAUAUUUCAUUAGAUGUAUAUUGUUUAAACCAACCACAUGUAUAGUGAAUGAAAUAAGUGUACACAAGGGAAUAUGUACAUAUGGACAUUUGAAAGAGUGUGUACAUAUGGACAAUAGAGAAAGAGUGUACAUAUGGACACUAGAGAUCGAGAACUCGUAGAUUGCAAUAUAGCCAUAAAUGUGUAUUUUUAUGACUUCAAAAAUUUGAUUGCUUUAUAUUAGAUAGUUGUACGUAGUAGUAUUUUGGGUUGGAUGAAUGGACUGGAUCUUUGUGAGAACAAUACUCACGUGUACACUUGAUAACAAUGUCCACGUGUAUACCUAAAUACAAUAUUAACAUGUACAUGAUAUACCACCGGAGGUGCCGCAGCCGUGACUGUGACGGUGAAGAACUCGUUGACGACAUUGUUUUGUAAUUCAAGCAAGGGCAUGUCGGAAAAACGAGAACAAUUCGUAACAUUAUUUCCCUGUCUAUCGCGAAAUUCCAACGGAAGUCACCGAAACUUCAUUCACCGCCGAUUAAUCUAGAGAGAUAAUGGUCGAAGGUUGGUUUUUUGGAUUUAUCAGGACAAAAAAAAAGACAGAUGAUGAAGAUGAUGAUGUGUUAAAAAUAGGAUUAAUCUGGAUCAUUCAUAUUAAAGCUACAAUAGUAGAUCUAAUGGUUAUAAAAUAAGACAGAUAUAAAUCUUGUCAAAGUGUACUAUAAUUAAUUUUGUCUGUUGGAUAGGAGGGGAGAUGUGUGGCUGAGGUUAAUUCCCGCUUAUUUUCUAGUUAGGUCCAUAAAGUUUAAAGUUACAGUUAGUGUAUUUUAGUUAGGAAUCAAUAGGUUGUUGGAAGAAAGUGUGUGUGUAGCAAUAAUUGUCUUAUUAUGAUAUAAAAAGAUAAAAAGUGACCCUGAAUGUAAUUGUUUCUUUAUAUAAUGCAACCAUCUUUACUAUAUUGUCCUCAACCUUUAAUAUAUGUCUUACGCAGAGAUUUAUAAUUUAUUGUUUUUAGCAAAACAAUAUAAUUUACUUUAAACUCUUUUUCAUCAAUAAUACUGUUGUAUUAUAAGAUCCUACAGUUACAAACUACGAUGAGCAAUUGUGGCACGAAGAGUUUAUCAACAUAUAUAUCCUACAGUGAUGAGACAUCCAUAUCUAUCUAUAUUAAUAAAUAAAAACAUUAUAUGGUUGAUGUUCAAUUGGCAAAGGCAAAUAUCCCCAAUGGUUCAUCUUUCAGUUAUGUCAUUAUAUUCCAAUGUUUGUCACUAACAAUAUUCAUAAUGACUUUGUAAACGCAAAUGUUUCUUAAUAUACGAAAUUGAUGUUAAGAAAAUAAAUAUAAAUAAGAACAUGUUUUUUUCCUUAAGCGUCACUUCAUCAACCGAGAGACCAAGCAUGCAUGUCAACACAGAUUUUAAUAAAUCUAUUACUCAUUCUCAUUCUCAUUCUCUUACUGCUAUACUAAAUCUAUUAACAAAAACUCUAUAUAGUCUAUAAACUAUUUUAUUUUAAUUCAAUUAAACUUUUGAUAUCUACAUCUAUGAAAACUGUAGUUUAACACAAACUAUAUACUAUAAGCAAAACUACAUAAACUUUUUUCAGGUACAAGAAGUUGUACUUUAAACUUAAUUAUAAGCAAGUUUUAAAAAUAAAGAUUCUUCGUUAUUUGAUAGCUAAAGUACAAGAAACACAAAUUACUAACUUCCAUAACACUUCUAAAAAAAAAUACUCCCUCCGUUUUUUAAUAUAAGUCGUUUUAGAAAAACUUUUUUGUUCCAAAUUAUAUGUCGUUUUCGGUUUUUUAUGUAACAUUUAUUAGUAAUUAAUGUUGUCUGACCAAUGAUAAUAUAUCUUCUAUUUUUCUAUUGGUUAAAUUGUGGUUAGGUAAAUAAUUAAUGAUGUUUUUGUUUCGAAAAUAUAAGAAAUUAAUGAUUUUCUUAAUCUAUGUGCAUAGCUUCAAAACGACUUAUAAUAAAAAACGGAGGGAGUAUUACAUAUGGAACAGAGCAGAUGCUUGCAGUAGACGUAACGACAUUUUUAAAAUCGGAUAGAGUACUGCUUAGCAAAUGGAAUUCGGAGGUUAUCUUCGAACAAAGAAUAUGUUAGAACCAAGAAACAAAAACUCAUGUAUCUUUAAUUAUACAAAUGAAUUAAUAUUUCUAAAUUAAACUAAAUUUAAUAAUGUUUCAUAACCAUCACAAAAAACGAUACAAUGAUAUCUGGAAACUCGAUCUUAUUCUCUUUUGAUCGAUUUCGAUUGAUUUAUAUAUUUUAUAUUAUUAUUUUUUCAUUUACAAAUACAAUACAAUAGACAACCGCUCCAGAAAAAUCACUUUUUAAAUAAAUAAAUUUUAUUAUUUCAACCUGAGACCGAGCAUAAGUUUCGAUUAGAGAUACGAUUUGCACAAAUAAUCCAAGUCCAACAUUUAUAGCGUUAUAAUACCUAAAAUAAUAUAAAAUUUUAAAAAUUUGAACUAAAACAACAAUAAUACUAAGAAUUCAAUCAUUUUUAGUUAUAUAUUUGGAACUCGGUGUAGACAACAUAAUAAUACUCACACCCAACUUAACAUAAAAAAAAUUUACACAAAAUUAUAUAUUUUAUAAUAACCGAUCCAUCAAAUCCCGCGCGUAGCGCGGGCCUGUCCUAGCAAGCAAUAUUCUACAUGUAUUUGUUAAAAAUCAUCUAAAGACACUAAACGUUUGACUAUGGUUAUUGUGGCAAUAAUGAAGAGAGAGAGAGAGAGAGGGAGCUUAACAGUUUGUGAACUUUGUUAAAUAUAGUAAUUUAAAUCUGAUAAUUACAAGAAUGUAUACAAUUUUGCAGGACAGUAUAAUGAGAAUGAUCGUGUUCAUGUAUGUAUUUAAAUGGUUUUGUUACGAUUUUAUUUAACCAAUCAAAUUUCGUUACAUAUAGUAAAUUUGUUGUCAAAAGAAUAAAUAAGUCUAUCUAACUAAAUUUGUGGUGAAAAACAAAAAAAAAAAUCUAUCAAAUUGUAAUUAAAUCUGUUAGAAGUAAGUAAGUUUGUGACCAAGGAAAAAAUAAUUAGGUGAAAUUCUAAUUAAAUCUGUUAGAAAGAGGUCAAUCUGUGGCUAAAAGAAAAUUUAGUUUAUCAAAUCAAUACAAUACGAAAAGGGAUAUAUGAGCUCCAUUAUCGUUUCCACUCUCCUCAGCUCUCCGUUACUUUGCAAUAAUCAACACCCACUCUGAAUGAUUGAUCCAUGAUCCAUGUUUUAUUAAAUUCCAAGUCUGAUGGGCUUGUUUCUAAUAUGACCUUAUAUUUGCAGAAUUGGCCAGUUUUGAUAUUAGGGUUAACCAAUUUUCAUCUCCGCCAUUGUUUUUGAUUGAGUCACAGCGUGAGUUUCGUUUAAGUUCUUUUGUCUUCUUCCCAACAGUCCUAGGAGCUACCAGUUACAGAUCCAUCCUCUUAAAUUUCUUCUUAAAUCUUUCUUCCACGAUUCACCAUGAAUGAGAGCUUUAGUCAUGCAAAGCGGUGGAAUCUAUUUAUAAAAAUACCAGAUGAUGGUCCUCCACUGUUCAUGUGAGGAUGCUCUGUUUCUGGGAGGCCAGAAACGUCCGAUGCGGUGGCAAACUCAUAGGAGUGGAUAUUCUGCUUCUGGAUUCACAGGUUUAUUAUGCUCCUCCACUUGAGUUCAUACAUCAAAACUACAAUUUUUUUCAUUACAUUUUUAACGUUUAUGUGUGUUGAAUCAUUAUUUCCCAGUUUUUCUGUUUAUAUCUUUGUUUAACAUAUUUUGAAUAAGACUAAUUAAAACCGUUUAUUGAUUGUUCUAAAAAAAUUUGGGUUUCUGAUUAUAACCGCUUGAGUUCAUAACUCUGAUUCAGACAGCGCGUAUGGACAAAUUAAAAUCGCUUGAGUUCAUAAUUUUGAUUCAGACCUGCAGAUUAAAUCGGUUUUGUUGGUAUUUUAUUCCAGAUCUGCUCUCUGUAUCAUUUUCAUAGCAGUGGAAGCGGCCGAUGUGUUCUUGAAGAAUGUUAAACUUCGACGCGUGUAUCGUAUUCGAGUGUACUAAGCAUAAUAUUGGUAAAAACUCUACUCCCUCUUUUCUUAUUGUUUUCCAUUAGCUAUUAUGAUGAAGACCAUCAUCUGUCCGCUAACACAUUUGUCAGUAUUUCUGUUUUCAUAUUUCAGAAAUUAUUUAUUUCAAAGGUUCAAUUGAUCCAUAUCUAUCUAUAUAUAUAAAAAAAUAUUUGCUUCACUCCUGUGCGUCCACAUCACUAAGUCAUUGCCUGACAUUGCGACACCUGUCCUCCUUCUCAAAAACGCAUCGUUUCAUUAAACAUAUGUCAUAUUGGGCUUCGUUUGUAUAUGUCGUGUAAUGGACCUUUUAAUGAACUGAGUUUGGGCCCGACGUGAAAGAAAUCGCUCUAUUAAGUCUGCAUGAUUCUUCUAUUACAUGACUGCAUUUCCUUACCUUUCUUUCAAGAUAUAAUCAAAUUACAUUACACGUAGCAAAAAAAAAAGAUAUUACAUUACACUCACAACUCUCUUUUACGAUGAGUUGUGUUUUGCCUUUUUAAUUAAAAUUUACACCCCUCUUCAAUUAUACAUUUUUUUCUUUCAAUUAUACAUUCUUAAAUAGUAUAUGUAAAAAAUAUAUCAAAAAACAAACAUAUGCAAAUUUCUUUAAAAACAUCUGUACAAAUACAAUAUUACUCAGCAAUACGCUGCAGCAAAAUUAUAUACAAGUCACAUAUAGCUCAGUCCACAAUAUAAUAAUCAAACUACAUGAACAUAACAAAACAAAAAAUAAUCCAACAACAUAUUUAGCUACAAAAAAGCAUCACACACAUUUCUCAAGCCCAUAGAUGCGAGCUUAGCAAACGUAAUAGCCCAAUGUCUCUAACGGGCGUACAAAAUACAGCUAAUUACAAACAAAAUUUAGCAUCCAAUCUUACAUGGUCCAACCAAAAGGAGACGCUAACAAGUAACCUAUCUUUAGAGCAUGUAUUAACAAGAGUUGAAAAUUCAAGCUACAUAUUACUUAAUAAGCAUUGACCCAAACUAUGGAUGCUAAAUAUUUACACUCUCCUCAAUACAAUUAUACAAACCCUACAUGUUCCUUCUAACCGCAAAGGCAACCAAAGUUGUCUCAUAUUUCAAAUAAUUGAAUCUUCCUUUAAAAUUAUAGUAAGCAAUAAUGCUGACUUUCAUUUAUUAUUGAACAUACCCCAAAAUACGUUCCAAAUAAAAUAUCAAAAAAUAUGAGGUUCACCAUUUGUUUGUAAUAUCUCAUAAAAUAAAACAAUAAAAUUAAUAGGAAACUAAACAAUAUCCUAACAAACAAUGAUUAUACAAUUAUGUCCAAACAGAAAUAUUACGUAGUUUAAUUUCGCGUGUCGCACGGACCAACCCAAUGUCUUCCAUUGGUUUUAUAUAUAUAUGUACGUAAAAAUAUAGAUUAUGCAAUUACUUCAAAACAAAUAUAGGACGAAGUGGAACAAAAUAUUUUGAAAAGACAUCGGUGAAAGUUAAGAAUUCAACGGUUUUAAAACUAAAAUAGAAUUAUGAUUGGUUGUACAUUUAAAAAAGUUUUGCAUCAAAAUUUAUAUAAGUGAGAUAAAUGAGUAUGUAGAUCAUGGGUCUAAAUAAUUCGGUUGUAAGUGUAGAAAUUUUUGUUGUAACAGUUUAGUUUGUAGAAUUUAGGUUUUAGUGAUGUAGUUGUAAAUUUUUAAUGUAGAAAAAUAUUAUAAUUUUUAAACCGGUGUUUUGAGAAAAAAAAUAUACUUUAAAAGGAUUGUAUAUUUAAAGGUGAUGGUCAAUUAAAUUACUAAGAGAAUAAUUAGAAACAAAAAAUUAAAAAAAAAACAAUUAAGUGAAAUGAAACAUUUCUAUAAUCCAACCAAUCAAACACCUAACUAAAAUUUACUUAUUUUUUUUUUCAUUUUGCUCAUCCUUAUAUAUAAUUUCCAAUAACAAAAAUAUCAGAAAUUUAAAUAUUAAACUUUUUGAAAUUUGUAAGACAGGAAAAAGUAAAUAAUUAAAAAAUAUUUUAUAAUUGUCUAGAUACUUAUAUUUUUUAUAAUAGAUUAUACCAUUUAUAUAUCAAAAUAAACAUACAUACAAAAUAUAUAAUAAAAAAAUUAAAAUUUAAACAAAAACCCCGGGCGUAGCCCGGGCCGACCCUAGUAAUAUAAUAUUAUACUGCCACAUGCAUACUAAAACACACAUAAAGAAAGUGAAACGUCAUGGUUAACUUGAAUAUUGACAGGUGUGUUACAUAUGAAGCACUAUAUAUAAGUUAAUCAGUAGAAAUUGGGUUUAGUUAUGUGUGUGAUCAAUGAUUGUUUGUUCACUUUUCUCACACAUGAGUGUGACAACUGUUAGCGUGAGUGUUAUCCAUCUUGAAACUGCACUCUGUUUUAUCAUUUGCGUGUCAUAUGGUUUGUGAUGCUUUGAAGUAAAGGGAAGGAACAUUAUGAAAGCAUUUUCAACUUUCACUACUGAAAUUAUCGAUCGCAAAAAAAGUCUUUUUAAGAAGAAUACAAAAUCAAUUAUUGUGUUCCAUGUUUCUGAUAUGAUUUUGUAGGUAUGGUGCAAAGACAGCAGAGGCGACAAACAGACAAACGCAUGGCUUGGAGCAGCAGGGCAUGCUCUUAGAACGGAGUGGACAAUUUUCAAGAUCAGACAAGCUCUCCCAAAUAGUGUGUUUAACUGAUGUCUAAAACCGCAAUUAAAACAGCAGCCUCAUAAAAGAAAAAGGGGAAUAGAGCUAUUUUUUAAUCAACGGAGAAAAAUAGUUAUAAGUGGAUGUUGUGUUGUUUGUACAUCAGUUUCAUUGCCUUGGUGCAAAAGCAAUACCAGUUAAAAAAAUUAGGGUUUUGGUUAUUGUUGUUGGGGCAUGUGUUUAGGCUUCUUUUAUAAUCAACAGAUUUUUGCAAACAUAGAUACAAUUUUUAAUAUUGGAUAUGCUUGGUUAGUGAGAAUGAUCAUUUUGUUGUAUGUUAUGCUGCUGUGUUUGUAUAAUCUUUCCUUAAGUUGUUGUUAUUACAAGGGAGCGAUGCAGUCAGACGUGAGUUCUCAUAUGAUGAUAGAAUUAUCGGCUGUAGAAUCGUCUAUGUAAUAUUUCUCAUCGUUGUAAUAGCAUAAUUAAUCAGACGUUAAAAAAAAAACAUAAAAACCCCAUCAACCCAUCAAAUCCUUCUAAAGAACUACAGAUUGGACUAUUUGUCUCUCACUUUGUCAUACCACCUCCUCUAUUUGUUUUUACAAAAUGAUCUUUUAACUUUUUACUUAAACAAUUAUAAACAAAAAUGUUUUUUAGUGAAAUAUAUUAUUUAUGUAAAAUAUAAUUAUAUUUUUUUAUUUACAUAAUAGUUUGUAAGGAAAUAUUUAGUUUAAAUAAUAUCAUAAUUUUAUAAAAUACUAAAUUAAAUUGGGCUGGUUUUCAACUCUCACAAAUAAAAAAUAUUAUUUGUAAACUUAGAAAAGAAUAUAUCAAGAAUAUUCUUUUUUUGGAGAGAAAAUAGAAAAAUACAUCGGAGACAAAUUCAUCUCUAUUAUAAAAUUCCUUUAUUUUAGAUUAAAAAAAAUAGAGUA